AGGGAUUUCCAGCAAAGUAAAUGUGACUGGGACUAAAAGAUAGAGAGGUCCUUGGUGGAGAAUUAUCUUCUCUCGAAACAGGAGAAAUUUGUCCCAGGGGCUUGUGACCUUUGCUUUCUCCCACUCUCUGUGCUACUUGUUGCAUUAAUAUUUAAUGCACGAUCCUCAGAAAAGAUAAGUAAAGCAUGGAAAGAUACAGAUAACCCUUGUCUGUUGUUCUGUCUUCAUUUGCUUUAAGACUAGAGAUUCUGGCCAGUCUUGGAACAGGAAGCAUGAUAGCUACUCAUGUAAGAGAGACUUGAGAGACUCCAGGAUGGCCUCCUUAUCCAAAAAUAUUUUUCCAAGAGCCUUGGAAUUCCAAAACUGCAGACAUAUCUAUAUCUCUUAGAAGGUUUUGAGAAAACAAAAGAGUGCCUAAUAUAAAUGAAAUGACUUUGAAAGGUCUGGUGACCCCUUUGAAAGGUUCUGAUGGGAACCAGCAUUAGGGGCAGGAAGAGCAGAAAGGAAAGUCCUCUUCAUUUAAGAGUGGAGGCAGAAAGUGACAAGGAGAGAGGACCCCCUCCUUCAUCCCCACUUCAAUCAAUCUCUGCAUUACAUCCUCCUAUAAGGCCUGCUGAGGGCCUCCUGAAUGAACAGCUCCCUCCAGACACACCUUGAACAAGCCACUCUUGAACAACCAAUGUUCCCUCUGACGCCAGACUCAAACAAUCCUUCUUAGCUCAGACUCCUCCAACAACCCUUCCCAGCAGGGUAAUGAAUGGAGGCUUCUGGCAAGCACCUGAAGGCCAACUUCUGUCUUUCAGGCUUGGAUUUCAGGAAACAGCUUGGGAGGAUGCUCUCCAGGCCCCACAGCUCCUGGGACCUGUCUUGGGAUCCGUGGGAGAGUGGAGGCUAAGAGGGAUUAAAGCUGCCCUGAAACCAUGUAGCCUGAGGGGGAUUUGGAGGUGGAAGAGGAGGGGUAGAUCAGCUCAGCUGCUUCACCUUCCCAGAUAAUCCAUCACUGCCACUGUAGCUGCAGGAAAGCAGUUCCGUAAACUGUCUGACUGGAAGGAAGGAUAACCUGCCACUGGCUUUUAUUUUCAGUUGAAUUAUAACACUUACCUUCUCAUCUGGCCUUUCAUCAAGAGGCUUAAGUGUUUUUCUUUCUGUAGGCCUUACUGGCCACAUUUCCCCAUUCAUUAUCAGCAUAGGGACCUGCCAUGCUGAAUCCAUGUGCAGCCCCCACUCCCAACUCCCCAUCCCCCAGGGGCUCCUUAGCAGCAACAAUUUUCUAAUUCAGAACAGACUCUCCUCUGAGCAAUUGAUCUUACAAGUACAUUACAACUGGCUUUAACAGGAGUUACCAAAGGCAGGGAUUUCAGAAACAAGAUGUGAACUCCCCAAAAGAUGGGGCACCAUAAAUACCUCCAACAUCUUUGAGUUUACCUGUAGUACUUGACUAUGCUUCUUGGAAAUUUUCUGUGUGUCUGUGGCUAAGGGGAAGGGUGGGCUGAGAGUUUGGGGUCACUUAAAGAUUAUCAUUAAUAGGCUUGUUACUUUUAGGAGAGAAUUGUGGAUUGUUUAGGGCCAGAGGUAGAACCAGUAUGACUGGGUCAUACUGGGUCACUGUGAUAUCAUUGCAUAAAUGAGAUACACUUUCCAGUUCAGCUCUGCUCUGGUGAAGGGGCAGGUUUCUUGCUCGAUCAUUUUUAUCUUAAUUGAAAAUUGGCAUCGAUUAGGGGGAAAGGCAGAAUCUUGGAUGUCUCUUGAUAUUGAACAGAUCCCCUGCUUUAAAAGCCUCUUCGUCUUCCCAGCCUUCUCCCAAUUCACUCAUGCUUCACAGUGAGACAGGAGGAAUCACAAUUCCAAGAAAAGGAUGGAAAGCAAUAAUAUUAAAUGACUGCCAAGGGAUCUGAGCAAUGGAUUCAACAGGCUGAAUCAGUCCAGCUCACCAGGGUGGCCAUUCCCUAACUGGGAUCCUGGGCCCACCACAUGCUACUUUACAGCAUGAGAGAAGCGAUGACACAAUUUAGUGUUGAUGUUCUGCCUCAUCGAAGACAUGGCAUUGUCAUUAUUCAUUUUGGAGAACAGCCUACAGUGCAGAAAGAAAUCAAUUCAAACAGAAAAGGAGAGUCUUUCAACAUAGCAUUCCAUCCUGAGGGGGAGGAAGAGAGAGCGGGAGAGAGUGAGAGAGAGAGAAAAGAAGGAGAACAAGUGGACAAUACUGACUUCUGACUCCAUCCCUUAACAGCAUCACUCAGGCUCAUCCUGAGCUGUCAUCCUUAACCCUGUGAAGAAGAAGCAGUGAGAAAGUAAUACUUUACAUUAUUUCAAUUAUUUCCAAUUUGUAAAGCUCUUUUAUAUACACCUUAUAUCAUAAUCCCCAUAAAUUAAUUGUGAAGAAGGCAAGGGAGCUAUAAUUAUUUCUAUAAUUAGAGCUAUAAUUAUUUCAAGGGAGCUAUAAUUAUUAUUUUUACAGAUUAGGAUUCUGAAGCUUUUCAAGUUUGAGAUUUAUUUGGGGGCCUGGUUAAAGUGAAG
rnacentral:lncRNA from 1 species